UCAGGGUUAACGCUGGCGGUGCGCAUAACACAUGCAAGUCGAGCGAGGGCUAUUUCCCGCAAGGGAGAUGAGUUCCUAGCGGCGAACGGGUGAGUAACACGUGGGCAACCUUUCCUAGUCGCGGGGGAUAACACCGGGAAACCGAUGCUAAUACCGCAUGUCGUCACUGGUCGCAUGGCUGGUGAAGAAAGCAGCAAUGCACGAUGGGGUGGGCCCGCGGCCUAUCAGCUAGUCGGUGGGGUAACGGCCUACCGAGGCGAUGACGGGUAGCUGGUCUGAGAGGACGACCAGCCACACGGGGACUGAGACACGGCCCCGACUCCUACGGGAGGCAGCAGUGAGGAAUCUUCCGCAAUGGGCGAAAGCCUGACGGAGCGACACCGCGUGUGCGAUGAAGUCCUUCGGGAUGUAAGGCACUGUCGGAGGGGAAGACAAAAAAGACGGUACCCUCCAAGAAAGCCCCGGCUAACUACGUG
rnacentral:rRNA from 1 species